UGCUAUACCGCAUAAUAUCUGUGGAUUAAAGGUGGCUUAGGCUGCCGCAGAUGGAUGAGCCUGCGUUGGAUUAGCUAGUUGGUGGGGUAAGGGCCUACCAAGGCUACGAUCCAUAGCUGAUUUGAGAGGAUGAUCAGCCACAUUGGGACUGAGACACGGCCCAAACUCCUACGGGAGGCAGCAGUGGGGAAUAUUGGACAAUGGGGGAAACCCUGAUCCAGCAAUGCCAUGUGUGUGAAGAAGGCUCUAGGGUUGUAAAGCACUUUAGUUGGGGAGGAAAGCCUAUAAGUUAAUAGCUUGUAGGAAGGACGUUACCCAAAGAAUAAGGACCGGCUAACUCCGUGCCAGCAGCCGCGGUAAUACGGGGGGUCCGAGCGUUAAUCGGAAUUACUGGGCGUAAAGGGUCUGUAGGUGGUUUGUUAAGUCAGAUGUGAAAGCCCAGGGCUCAACCUUGGAACUGCAUUUGAUACUGGCAAACUAGAGUAUGGUAGAGGAAUGGGGAAUUUCUGGUGUAGCGGUGAAAUGCGUAGAGAUCAGAAGGAACACCAAUGGCGAAGGCAACAUUCUGGACCAAUACUGACACUGAGGGACGAAAGCGUGGGGAUCAAACAGGAUUAGAUACCCUGGUAGUCCACGCUGUAAACGAUGAGUACUAGCUGUUGGAUUCGGUGUAAAGGAUCUAGUGGCGCAGCUAACGCGUUAAGUACUCCGCCUGGGGACUACGGCCGCAAGGCUAAAACUCAAAGGAAUUGACGGGGACCCGCACAAGCGGUGGAGCAUGUGGUUUAAUUCGAUGCAACGCGAAGAACCUUACCUGGUCUUGACAUCCUGCGAACUUUCUAGAGAUAGAUUGGUGCCUUCGGGAACGCAGUGACAGGUGCUGCACGGCUGUCGUCAGCUCGUGUUGUGAAAUGUUGGGUUAAGUCCCGCAACGAGCGCAACCCCUAUUGAUAGUUACCAUCAUUAAGUUGGGUACUCUAUUGAGACUGCCGCUGACAAGGCGGAGGAAGGUGGGGACGACGUCAAGUCAUCAUGGCCCUUACGACCAGGGCUACACACGUGCUACAAUGGGUAUUACAGAGGGCUGCGAAGUCGAG
rnacentral:rRNA from 1 species